rnacentral:tRNA from 1 species
GAGGGUAUAGCUCAAGUGGUAGAGUGCAUGCCUAGCAUGCACAAGGUCCUGGGUUCAAUCCCUGAUACCUCCU